GGAUCAACUCAAUAAAUGCAUUCAGAGUUGGGUAGCCAACCUAAAAUGAAAGAAAUGGUCAGAACAAUAGGUGUUGUAUGCAGUUGCUGGGCGGCACUGAACAAAAAUAUAGAUCACAGUUGCGUAACUUGCAUAGACCAUCUUGAAUUCUAGUCGGAGGGCGCCGCCGACGUAAUUGCCGGUGUGGCUGCCCCCCGGCGGCUGUGCCCCCGCCAGACGCACCCCUGGUGGCCUGUGCUUGUGCUGCCCUAGUAAUCAGAUCAGAUCCAAGCACAAAUAGUAAGUUAGGGUUUGGGUGCUUGUUUUGUCAAAGCACGAAAGGACGACCACGGAUGAGCGUACCUGGUGGCAGAAAGGUCGUGCGGAUCCUUGGAGGAGUGCCCGACGAGGCCAUCGCAAGGGCAGCUUGCAAGUCACCGGAGAGGUCGCCCGCCGAGGAAGAGGAGUUUGCUCGUGACCUUGGAGGUUUUUUAUUUUUUCCUUCAUAGGCAUAGGCAUACAUACGUACAUACAUUGUUUUUUUCUAUUUUCCAGUGACUUCAUUCGAACUUGCGUCGUUCAUAUUCGUUAGAGGGGAGGGCGUGGCUUGAGAGGGUGAGAAGCCUCACAUAAAAGGCCGAGGGUGUGUAAAGUCGUGAUCAUACUUUUAAUCUGGGCCGUUAAAUCUGUAGGAUAUAUGCUGUGAGUCGUUGAUCUUGCAGGUGGGAUUUGCCUAGAGAAGAUUUCAAUUACAGUAGAGAUUACUACUACUACUACAUUGUAAAACCAAAAUAUUUGAUAGUGUCAUGAAAAAAAGGGAAAAUCUUAACCGUAGCGGGCGCGCUAUACUGCCCGCCACAGUUAAUACUUAACCGUGGCGGGCGCCCUUACCCGCCCGCCAUAGUUAAUGUUAACCGUGGCCGGUGGCCUAACUUGCCUGUCUUGCUUAAUGUUUG
rnacentral:lncRNA from 1 species